GCCUGCUCUGCGUUCCGAGCGCCGCCGCUGGGGCGGGCGGCUGUGCGAGCCCCCGCGAGGCGGGCCGCUGCGGGAGCUCGGGCCCCCGCUCCGGGUCUCGAGAUCUGGGGGAGAUGACGUGGAACUUGCGUGGGAAAGUCAGCGUGCCUUGACAGACGUCUUGGGAAGUGGGAGGACCUUGGGAGGGAGAUUCGUGCAGAGGCAGGGAAGGAGCUAAGGAGGCCGGGGCGCUGCCUGACUGAGUCCACGGGCAAAUCCAAGGUGGAAACGGGGCGAGAGGAGAGUUACCGAGCAGGAGGACGCGGCCUGGGGCCUCGGCGGAAGGGACUUUAACAGACUGAGCUCCGGAACCGCUCAUGACCCCUACGCUGCAAUGGCACCGCGCACCGGGUUUCAGAUGAAAGACUGCCAGGCGUGGUGGCCUUGCCUCUCGUUCCCGCACUUGGGAGGGCCUAGGCAGGAGGUCGUUUGAGACCAGCCUGGGCAACAGGGAGAGUAGAUACUAAAGUCUGGAAGAAAUAGGUUUGAAAGUUCGGAAUUAGGAUUUAUAUCCCUCACCUGCAUUUGAGAUCUAACAGUUGAUGAGUAACACACAAAAGUGCCUCACUGAAAGUGGACAGAAUAUUUGAAAACCUAAUUCACAUUUAAAAAAAUAUUGUGCCAUGAUCAAAACAGGUAAAAAGAUGUACAUUACAUAUUAAGAGAAACACACACAAUGCAGUUCUUGGUUUUGUGUGGAUAAAACUCAAUAUGCUUUUGGUAUUUGUGCUGAAAAGUGUGACGCGGUGGGUGAAACUACCAAAUACUCUGACCUUUUUAGAAAGUAAUCAGAAAGACUAUGAAGAUUGAAAAUGCACAGGCCUGGGCUGGGUGGAUCCUUGGCAGAGGGUGUGGAUGUGCAAGGCCCUGGGUUUUGUCCCCUGCACUAAUUAAGAUGCACAGACCCUUUGACUUUUAGACAGCCUUCAGAAAUCAAGCCACCAGAACUGACAAUGUAGGUACAAAGACUUGUCUACAAACUCUUCUCAAAAGCCAAGCAUAGCCAUCAUCUCAGUGUCCAUCAAGAGAGAAUGGGUGAUUGAAUCAAAAUGUAUCCAUACCAUGGAAGUGUAGAUGUUCCUAAUGAGAAAAAAAAUUUGUCCAUAAGUAACUAGAAAGUUAUCCAUGUUAUAUUUUGGAGAAAACAAAAAAGGAAGGUACAGAUGAAUGCCUGUGUGUAACUUAAUCUCUCAGUGUGAGUGACUAUGUGUUCCAUACAGGAGGACACCUGUGGCUGCACCCACCCUCCGUGCUGAGUGGCCUCAGGAAGGAAGGUGAGGGGGUUGCACCUUACAUACCACUGCUGUGCUUGAUGUUCACGAGUGUGUGUGACGAAUACAAGUAAGAAUCAGGCACUGGGUUCCCCCCCCCCCCAAGUAAAUAUCCACCUGUGAUCCAGGGCGACUGGGUGGGAAGAAGGGACCCAGCUGGGUGCUCUGACUCAUGGUGGGGAGACCUGAAAUGCUGGCACAUGUUUUAAUCACUCUGGGCCUUGGGGCCUCCAGAAGGUGCCGGAGCAGUUCACAGAAACUCGUGUGUGGGUCUUCCCUCUGCCAGGCAAGAGAGUACCCUCCCUCACCUGUCCUCCCUCUCUGUCCCUGUCUCUGGGCUGCUGCC
rnacentral:lncRNA from 1 species